CUGAGGUUGUAGCUCAGUGGUAGAUCACUUGCCUCACACGUAUGAAGCACUGGGUUCGAUCUUCAGACCAUAUA
rnacentral:tRNA from 1 species